UACGGAGGGGGCCAGCGUUGUUCGGAAUUAUUGGGCGUAAAGGGCGUGUAGGCGGCCAGAUAAGUCCGCUGUGAAAUCUCGAGGCUCAACUUCGAGCUGUCGGUGGAAACUAUCUGGCUAGAGUCCGGAAGAGGAGAAUGGAAUUCCUGGUGUAGCGGUGAAAUGCGCAGAUAUCAGGAAGAACACCCGUGGCGAAGGCGGUUCUCUGGGACGGUACUGACGCUGAGACGCGAAAGCGUGGGGAGCGAACAGG
rnacentral:rRNA from 1 species